rnacentral:lncRNA from 1 species
AGCCGCGUCUGCAACCUACACCACAGCUCACGGCAACGCCGGAUCGUUAACCCACUGAGCAAGGGCAGGGACCAAACCCGCCACCUCAUGGUUCCUAGUCGGAUUCGUUAACCACUGCGCCACCACGGGAACUCCCAUAUUUUUCUUUUGCUUAAGUUUCACUGGCUGUGUUUUUUUAUAAACCUUUACAAGCAUUGAGUAAGGCACUUGCCACAUAUUAGGUGCUUAGUAAGAUGGUUUUUAAGGAGGAGAGCAUGAUUAAUUUGGCUCAUUUAAGUGCUACUUCUGGAAAUACCCACAAGGCUAUUCAAAUGGCCUAUUCAGAGAAUCAAUCUCCACUUCCCCCACCCACUUCCAGUUCCCCUCAGGGUAAUCAACUUUCUCUUCAGAAGCUGGCAAGCAGUUUUUUGCACAUUUGGUUUACUCAGUUUGUAAAGCUUCAAGCAUUCAGAGAAUGAUCAGAAUUACAUUCAUCCGUAGCUAAGAUGCACACUGUUCUCUUGGGGAUUUGAUGUAGUUUUUCCAAAUCAGCUAAAUGCUCUCUUGAAGAAUUAUUGGUGGGAAGGAGAGGCUGUGAAUAACCUAGCAGACAUCAUCAUUCAGAAUGUAUCCUUCAAGCCCUGCACUGGGUUCUCAUGUUACCAAGAAAAGAGCUUCUGAGGUUGUUCAGAGAGAUGUUGAAGGCAGCUCCAUUGGGACCUCCUGGGAGGGAAAGACCAGAUGGAGGAGGCUCUUGGGCAAAAGAAAUCCCCAAAGAAUGUCUCCCGGCUGUUUUUAUUCACCUCAAAUACCCCAGCUCUGCUUCAUCUUCCCAAGGCCCAUCUUCUAGAUCAGUGAACCAGAUGAAAAACAGGCCAUUUUCCUUUGUUUACAUCUUGACUGGGAAGAUCAGGUCUCCAAAGGGAGGAUUAUUUCAAGACUGCUUUGGACCUUACCUUUGGAUUUUUCACACGUCACUAUUACCUAUCAUUCUGUGCCUCACCUCACCCCCACCCCAUAUACACACUGUGUAAUCAAUGUCAUCCUUCCUUCUGCAAAAGAUGUUUUAUUUAGCUUUGUGGCCUAAUGACCCCCUUCUUGCCUUAGAGACAAUGAAUGGACAGUUUGAGUUUGGAAUUCCUAUAGUUUGGCCAGUGGAACUAACCCUCUAAUUAAGAUUUCCUGUUCACUAACAAGCACCACUCUCCCCAGGCCUGCAUUUUGGUUCAAAAGUACAAGACAAACAAGGGAUUGAAAAGACUAAAUGUGUGAGAGUUUUAAUUUUCCUCUGGGGGGAAAAAAACAACAACAACAAGUUAUGAUUUUCCUCCAAGCAAAAAAACUGUUUUCCAUAUGUUUCCAAGAAAAAAACUGCUUUUCUGUAAUUCUGCACGUUCCAUGGAUGGUUCCAGUGGGGGGAUCCUAGGAAGCAGCACGUUUUCUCUUGUUGGAGGGAAAAUGUGUUUUCCAACUCACAGUCUCUGUGCUCUGGUAAUUGGGCUUGGGGCGCCCACUCCAAUCCACUUCUGAAAGGGAGCCAGAGAAGGAGGCGGAGCUGGUUUGGUUUCCAGAAGCUGUGAAAGCCGCUGGGUGGGGGCCCAGCAAGGCCUGUCCUCAUGGGCCUGAGGAAGCUGCUCUUCCAUACUCCUGUCCCUGCCCCCAGGGCAGAUGGGGGCGGGGGUGUGCCUUCUGCAGAAAGAUGGUCUAGAAUAACUUCUGCAGUGUAACCUCUGAACUCUGGCUCCUGGGACACCUGUAGCCCCCACUCUCAAACCAGGGGUCUCAGGUGACCUUUCAAAUCCUUGCUAAAAUGUUAAAGACCCCUGACCUUAUCAUUCCCCUAUUUCAAUACCUUCAAUAGUUCUCUCAUUGCUUUUAGGAUACAGACCAUAUUCCAUAUUACUGAGAUUUUCAAUUCUCAGUAACCUGAUUCUACUGUAGCUUUGCAGUUUUUUCUCAUUGCUCCCUCUAUAAUCCUCUCUCCACUCCCCUUCCCAACUCUUGUCAUUUUCUCACCUCCAGCACACGGAAGUGUGUGCAGUCCCUUAAAUGCACUGGACUCUUGGGACUCAGCUGGGGAUGUUGUUCCUGGGGACGGGAAGAAUCCACACGUGCUCCACCUUGCAGACUCCUGUUCGUACUUCAGUCUCAACAUGGGAUUGCUUCCUCCAGGAAGCUUUCUUUCCAGACUGAGGUGGGUGUCCCACUACUCAUUGCCAUAGCUCACUGUGCUUAUCACAUCACAGCUAUUCAUUGACAAGUAGUACAGAGCAUGCUUACGGAGCAGCCCCUGGGCUAGGCCCUGGGGUUACAGUGCAAAGAAAAUAGUAAUAAGUAAAACAAGCAAAUAUGGGGGGGGGGGGAAUUUGUGCUAAGUACUGGGAAAGAAGAAGAUAUAGACAUGGAAAAUAAGGAGUGGUGUACAGAUGUCCUAUACUAUUUUAUUCGAACUUCCUCUUUACCUCUGUGUCUUUCCAACAGACAGCAAUUUCUCCAGAGCAAAGAUUUAUAUUAAUCACUUCUUUAUUUCUAAUGCACAACAUAGGAUAUGGCAUAUAGAAGGCACUUGAUACGAGUUCGUGGUUUGAAUCAUAACCAUUUUCUGUUCCAUUUCUUGGCCUGUGUUCAACUCUUAUCAAGAAAUUUGGAAAUUUCAAAUCUUUUUUCCAGGAGGGGUAAACUGGGUAAUUAAAGGGACAAAGAACAAAGACAUUUGUUCAUUUGGAAAUCAGCUUUCUAAUCUGCCAUGUACCUAUCGUCAUUCAUGUGAUAGGAGAGUGUUUUAAAAUAUGUCCUUGGCCAUGAUGGAAGAUAAUAUAAGUAAAAAAGAAUACAUAUAUAUUCUAAGUCAUUUUGAUAUACAGCAGAAAUUGGCACAACAUUGUAAAUCAAUUAUACUUUAAUUUAAAAAAUAAAAAAUAAAAAUAUGUCCUCGGAGAGUGACCAAGAUGCUUGAGUAGAAAGACCCUGAGCUCACCUUCUCUUGGGAGCAAACCAAAAUCACAACUAUAUGAAGAACAACCAUUUAUGUAUUUAUUUGUCUUCUUAGGGCCGAACCAGUGGCACAUGGAGGUUCCCAGGCUAGGGGUCGAAUCGGAGCUAUAGCCACUGGCCUACGCUAGAGUCACAGCAACGCGAGAUACGAGCCGCAUCUGCAACCUACACCACAGCUCACCGCAACGCCAGAUCGUUAACCCACUGAGCAAGGGCAGGGACCGACCCCGCAACCUCAUGGUUCCUAGUCGGAUUCGUUAACCACUGAGCCACGACGGGAACUCCAAUAAGCAGGCUUUUAAUAUUGGAAGAAAGGCCCUAACAUAAUGAAAGCCUACACUAUGACCAGCAUCUUAACAGACACUUUAAUAGUAUUUCAUUUAGUCCGAAACCAAAUAUACAAGGAAUAGAUCAAAGCCCUGUCUUUUUAAUGAUAACAAAAAUGAGGUCCAGGGAGGUUAAGUGACUUGCCCAUGGUCACACAGGAAGUGGCAGGUGUAUGUUCAAAGUCUAGGCCCAGCUGCCUCCAAAGUCCUUUUUUUCACAGCAUCCAGCUGCCUGCCUGUUUCCACCACCCUCUCCCUGCUUUCAGCUUCAGACGUGUUCUUGGCAAAUCCAGAAAAAUCACCCAGGGGCUGGCUAGCUGCCCAAAUGGGGAAUGGGGUGACAGCCCUAAAUUCACACAUCCCCAGGCACCUCCCAGUAGCUGUUCCCUGGGCCGACACCUAUGCCAGUGUGCUUUACUGCAAACCCUGGGUAAGAGAUGAGUGGGCAAAACAGGCAGGGAGGAAGAAGGAUAAAUGGGAUGCAAUAAAACCCAGCCGGUUUGUCUUCAAGGCAGGAGUCCAAUAAAUCCAGAGGCACCUGUGCUUGUGACAUUCUGGAGGCUGAAGCUGCCACUGGGCUGGGCUUGGCUUGCUGGGAUACAGCAGUAAUUCCAAGGAGAUGAGAGAAAAGACUGUCAGGAGAGGGAAGAACCCCAUCUGUGAAGCCAGGGCAGCUUAGGACACAUCGUGAAAGAAGGGACAUUUGUACCAACCUGUCUGUGUAGGUGGAGAACCUGCUUCCCUGUACACAGAAUGCACUCACUCAUCUCUGUUAGCUCCCUCCUCAUGCCCCUCUCUUCCUUCUCAAGGAUUUAUCCCCAGGGUUUGUGAGACCCCCUUUGACUUAUUUAACAUGGAGCCAAGAUGAAUUCCUCGUGAACUAGAAACUGUUAGCUCUCCUUGCAUUUCUCUAAGAAAAUGGUCUGGGACUUCCUCUUGGUACUUGGCACGACUGAGUUUUGCCACAAUACAGGGGGCAGAAGAGAGCUGUGUGGUUCCAACUUGAGGGCUUAAAAAUCACCUGGAGACUGAGCUAGAAAUACAGACUGCAGUUUUACACCAGCAAUUCUGAUUCGCUGGGCGCCUCUGCGAGUCUGCAUUUAUUUGUAAGCCAUCUAUUGAUCACAAUUUGAGAAGCUGAGAGAAAAGUGUCAUUUAGAGUGGAUCCAUUAGCCCUGGACUAACAAGAACUCCAGGUGGAGCUGAGAAAAACAUCCUAGUGAGGGGCCUCAAUCCAUAUUCAUCACCUUUUAAAAGUUACUAAGAUCCUGGUUAUCUCUAACAGGUUGAACAUAAUAUUUUGUAUUCCAACAAUAAGGCAAUGAAAUUCUAAAAAUAGAGAUGAAGGGAGUUCUUGUCUGAGAAGUCAGGAGUUCCCAUUGUGGCUGGGCAGUUUAAGAACACAACACAGUACCAACGAGGAUGUGGAUUGGAUCCCUGGCCUCGCCCAUUGGGUUAAGGAUUUGGUGUUGCUGCAAGCUAUGAUGUAGGUCACAAAUGUGGCUUGGAUCCCUUGUUGCUGUGGCUGUGGUGUAGGCCGUCAGCUGCAGCUCUGAUUCAACCCCUAUCCUGGGAACUUCCAUAUGCCACAUGUGUGGCCCUAAAAAUAAAAAUAGAUAGAUAGAUAGAUAGAUAGAUAGAUAGAUAGAUAGAUAGAUAGAUGAUAGAUAGAUAUGUACAUACAUACAUACAUGAGAAUAGGAAGGCGAUCCUGAAUUAACUGGGUGGGCCCAGUGCAAUCACAUGAGCUCUUCAAAGUAGAAGAGAAAAGCAGAAGGGAAAGUCAGAUCGGAAGAGGAAAAAUGAUUUAGCAUGCUAUUUCUCACUUGAAGAUGGAGGAGCUAUGUAAGAAUGAGUAUGAGUGGAAGCUGACAGUGCCAACAACAAAGAUGUCAGUCCUACAACCACAAAGACUAGAUUAUGCCAACACCCUGAGUGCAUUUGAAAGUGGUAUCUUCUCCAGAGCCUUCAGAUAACAGCUCAGCUCUUGACACCUUGAUUUCAACUUUGGAGUACCCUAAGCAGAACCCAGAAGUGCCUGCCUGGAUUCUCCAUCCACAGAAUCAUGAGGCAGUAAGUACAUACUAUUUUAAGCUGCCAAGUGUUUGUUACACUAGAAAUUAAUCUAAGCACUUUUAUUUGUGAAUGUUUUGAUCUGGAUUUUUUUUGUUUUGCUUUGGUUUGGUUGGGCUUUUGAUAUUCUAAGACUUGAAUUCAUUGCUGGAUGAUUUCUCACAUCCAGGCUUCCUGCCUCUUUUUGAAGACCCUGUCAGAGUACAUGUCUUCAGAAAGCUUUCCCUAAUAGAGUCACCUUUUAUCGUGAACAGUGAUGGUCUUUGCCAAAGAAGUCCUUAUUUUGUUGGAAAGUUAAGGCUGUCAUGGAGGUGAUAAAGGAUUGAAUGUAUAUAUGGAGAAGGGGGUAAUGUUUGGGAGCCAAACACAAAAAUAGGUUUAUUAAUUCAUGUAUUCAAGAAAUAUCAAUUGAGCAUCUCCUAUGUUCUAGGUGCUAAAGAUAUACUGGUGAAUAAGAAAACAUCCCUCUCUGAUGAACUCUACAUUCCAGUAGAGGGAGUUAGAUAAUACAUAUGUAAACAACUAAUAAAGAAAAUAUUUCAGACAGUAAUAAGUCCUACAAGGAGAAAAGCUCCAGUAAUAUGUGGCUUCCAGAGAAAGUCACUUUAAAGAGGGUAGCUGUUAAAGUCCUCUCUGGGACAUAUUGUUGAGCUGUGACCUGAAUGAUGAGAAGGGAAAUAUGUCCAAAUAGGAGAAGAGCAAUUGCAAAAGCCCCGAGGUUUUAAGGAGCCUGACACAUUAACUGAACAGGGGAGAAAAGGAUCGUUUGACAAAGCCGCAGUGAGCCAAGGGGAUGACAUAACUGAGAUCAGACUGGUAAAUAGAGGCCAGAUCAGUCAGAGCCUUGUAGACCAAAAUUAGAAGUUUGGGGUUGAUUAUCUGUACCAGGCAGCCACUGGAUGUGGAAUAUUAUUGCAACUGCUUCCAGACAACUCUCCCUGUGUUCAGUCCCUUCCUUCCCAGUCGCUCCUCUAUUCUGAUGCACUGAGUGACCCUUGUACAUGGUAGUUCUGGCCAUGUCACUGUUUUAACUCUAAAAACUACCAAUGAAUCCCACUGCCCACAGAGUGAAAUCCAGACUGGAUGGGUGGACCCUCAUGAUAAAUCCCUGUAUUUACUCCCAGGCUUGUUUCUCGGCCUCCCUCACCUUAACUCCAUGGUCAGAGCACAUUAAACUAUGCUCCCCAGAGUUCCCAUUGUGGCUUAGUGUGUUGAGAACCCUACAUAGUGUCCUUGAGGAUGUGGGUUCAAUCCCUGCCCUCCCUCAGUGGGUUAAGGAUCCAGCGUUGCUGCAAGCUGUGGCUAGGUUGCAGAUGCAGCUCUGAUCCAGUGUUGCUGGGGCUGUGGUAUAGUCCCACCGCUACAGACUGCCACUCCAAUUCAGUCCCUAGCCUGGGAAUUUCCAUAUCCUAAGAUGCAGCCAUUAAAAGAAGAAGGAAAAAAGAAAAGAAAAAAAAAA